rnacentral:piRNA from 1 species
GGAGAAAUGUGCCCUGGUGUUUUCCAUU